UACUGGGCGUAAAGCGCGCGUAGGUGGUUCAGCAAGUUGGAUGUGAAAUCCCCGGGCUCAACCUGGGAACUGCAUCCAAAACUACUGAGCUAGAGUACGGUAGAGGGUGGUGGAAUUUCCUGUGUAGCGGUGAAAUGCGUAGAUAUAGGAAGGAACACCAGUGGCGAAGGCGACCACCUGGACUGAUACUGACACUGAGGUGC
rnacentral:rRNA from 1 species